rnacentral:rRNA from 1 species
GUCCACGCCGUAAACGAUGGGCACUAGGUGUGGGAGGUGUCGACUCCUCCCGUGCCGGCGCUAACGCAUUAAGUGCCCCGCCUGGGGGAGUACGGCCGCAAGGCUAAAACUCAAAGGAAUUGACGGGGGCCCGCACAAGCAGCGGAGCAUGUGGUUUAAUUCGAUGCAACGCGAAGAACCUUACCUGGGCUUGACAUGUAACUGACCGCCGUGGAAACACGGUUUUCCUUCGGGACAGUUACACAGGUGGUGCAUGGCUGUCGU